rnacentral:rRNA from 1 species
GGGGAUCGAAAGACCUUGCGCUUUUGGAGCGGCCGAUGUCUGAUUAGCUAGUUGGUGGGGUAAAGGCCUACCAAGGCGACGAUCAGUAGUUGGUCUGAGAGGACGACCAGCCACACUGGGACUGAGACACGGCCCAGACUCCUACGGGAGGCAGCAGUGGGGAAUUUUGGACAAUGGGCGCAAGCCUGAUCCAGCAAUGCCGCGUGAGUGAAGAAGGCCUUCGGGUUGUAAAGCUCUUUCAGUCGAGAAGAAAAGGCUGCAGUGAAUAACUGCAGUUCAUGACGGUAUCGACAGAAGAAGCACCGGCUAACUACGUGCCAGCAGCCGCGGUAAUACGUAGGGUGCGAGCGUUAAUCGGAAUUA